rnacentral:lncRNA from 1 species
GUCAAGCUAAAUAAAGCCGCAGCUUCAAGUUCGACUGCACUGCUCAACAGGGAAGAGAAACCAACUCCUCCAGCAGUAGCAUACUCAAAUCUAAGCCUUGAAAACCAUAACAUCUACCAUAGUACUCCGCACAUACUCUAAAGGAAGCGUGCAAAAACUUCUGAUCUACUGUGUCUUUGGUAAAGGUUUGGGGAUAGCACUCGUCCCUGUAGACCUUACCUCAUAUUAUGAUCAUCUACUUUAUUGUGUAACGGAUCUUUUAGUUACCUCCCCGCCCAUCCAUGUACACAGAAGGGCCAUGUACAUGGCGAAGCUAGAGACUGUAACCUUCGGACGACCACUGUUCUUUCGGCACCUCCGCAACGAGACAGUGGUAGAACGGGUGCUCGCCAAAGCCGUCCUCAAGCAGCUCUUUCUCGGUUAGCACCACUUGAUCCUCCAUGUCCUCGUACUUGGCUAGUUCCUUGAUCAGUCGCAGCAGGUCGGAGCAGUCCUCGGGACGCGCGGCGCGGAUACUGAACGAAGCCAUUUUCGACGGCGUUUCCCCCUGCGGCCCCCUCGGCUGACGAGUCCCCGGUGUGUGAACAGGAGGAGCAGCUGUUUCUUCAUUCGUGUCCCGGGCGCGGCGGCCACCUGCGGUCAGUCAGGCUGCGAGCAUGUCCCGGCGGCGUUCAGCAGGCAGACGACUCACCCACCGACUUCGGCGACGGCUGGAACUCAACUGUGCCUCCGCCGGCGUCUCCGCCUCCAUUUAUAGACGACGGCGCUCCGCCUCCCCCGCACGAGAGCCAAUGGGAGCGCCCGCAGCUCUCGCCCCCAGCCAAUGGCAGCGCCCCUCCCCGGAAUCUUGCCUCGCCCUGCCAGCAACAGCUGCUGCGGAUGUCUCGUG